GACUCCUGGGAAUGGGGACAGGGACCCUCUGGAAUGGGGAUAGACCUGGGAAUGGGAGCAGGGAUCUUCUGGAAUGGGAACAGGGACCCCUGGAAUGGGAACAGGGACCCCUUGGAAUGGGAACUGGGACCCUUGGGAUGGGAAGAGGGACCCCUGGGAAUGGGGACAGGCCUUGGAAUGGGGACAGGGACCCUCUGGAUUGGGAACAGGGACCCCCUGGAAUGUGGGAACAGGGACCCCUGGAAUGGGAACAGGAACCCCUUGGGAUGGGAACAGGGACCCCCUGGAAUGGGAUCAGCCCUUGGAAUGGGAACAGGGACCCCCUGGAAUGGGAACAACCUUGGGAAUGGGAACAGGGACCCUCUGGAAUGGGAAAAGGGAUCCCCCCUGGAACGACUCGGGUGGGAGGGGGGUCUACUUGGGGUG
rnacentral:lncRNA from 1 species